rnacentral:rRNA from 1 species
AUAAACUAGGAUUAGAUACCCUAUUAUACGGAGCUCAAAAUUAACGCUGAAGCACUAAAGCUUUUAUAGCUAAAACUUAAAGAGCAUGGCGGCGGGCCAAAAUUUCAGGGGAAUUUACCCGGUAAUUGAUAACCCGCAAGAGGUGCCACAUGUUUUUAUCGUUUGUAUACCGCCGUCUUCAGGUGUNGUCUAAGAUAGCACCAACCCUCAAAAAAAAGCAGAAAGACAGGCCAUGGUGCAGCUUAUAAGCAUGAACUGGGCGAGUUACAAUUAGUAUUUNUAUCAGUACCUAAGAAUAAAAACUUAGUAAAGAUGGACUGAAAGUAAUUAAAGAAA